rnacentral:rRNA from 1 species
AAGGUAAUUCCUGCCCUAUGGUUUAAUCUAAAUGGCUGCAGUAUUUUGACUGUGCAAAGGUAGCAUAGUAAUUAGUUUCUUAAUUGGGAACUUGUAUGAAUGGAUAAAUGAGAUAUAAUUUUUAUUUAAUUAAAAGUUAAAAUUUUAAUUUUAAGUGAAAAUGCUUAAGAUUUUUCUUGGGACGAUAAGACCCUAUAGAACUUUACAUUUGUUUAUAAAAUUUUCUUUAAUUUUUUUUGUAAGAUUUUCUGUUCGUAUGUUUUGCUGGGGUGGUAGAUAAAUUUUAACUUUAUUUAUUUUUUUCAUUAAUAAUUGUUUUUAUUGAUCUUAAUGGAUUAUAAGAAUAAGUUACCUUAGGGAUAACAGCGUAAUUUUAGUGGGGAGUUCAUAUCUAUACUGAUUUUGCGACCUCGAUGUUGAAUUAAGAAAAAACUAAGAAGCAGAAUUCUUAGAUUUAAGUCUGUUCGA